rnacentral:rRNA from 1 species
UAAUACAGAGGGUGCGAGCGUUAAUCGGAGUUACUGGGCGUAAAGGGCGCGUAGGCGGUCGGAUAUGUGUGAUGUGAAAUCCCCGGGCUUAACCUGGGAAGUGCAUCGCAAACUGUUUGACUGGAGUAUAUGAGAGGGUGUCGGAAUUUCCGGUGUAGCGGUGAAAUGCGUAGAGAUCGGAAGGAACGUCGAUGGCGAAGGCAGGCACCUGGCAUAAUACUGACGCUGAGGCGCGAAAGCGUGGGGAGCGAACAGGAUUAGAUACCCUGGUAGUCCACGCUGUAAACGAUGAGAACUAGAUGUUGAUUGGGGAACCAAGCAGUAUCGAAGCUAACGCGAUAAGUUCUCCGCCUGGGAAGUACGGCCGCAAGGUUG